GGUGAACAUUGCAGGCAUCAAGUGUGACUGAGUAUUGGUGCUUUUCACCCGCCAGCAGAUUCAACUGCUGGCUUUUUUC
rnacentral:sRNA from 1 species